AUACGUAGGGAGCGAGCGUUGUCCGGAAUUAUUGGGCGUAAAGAGUACGUAGGCGGUUCUGUAAGCGUGAGGUGAAAGCCCGGGGCUUAACUCCGGUAAGCCUUUCGAACUGCAGGACUUGAGUGCUGAAGGGGAAAGUGGAAUUCCUAGUGUAGCGGUGAAAUGCGUAGAUAUUAGGAGGAACACCAGUGGCGAAGGCGACUUUCUGGACAGUAACUGACGCUGAGGUACGAAAGCGUGGGGAGCAAACAGGAUUAGAUACCCUGGUAGUCCACGCUGUAAACGAUGAGCACUAGGUGUCGGGCUAGCAAUAGUUCGGUGCCGCAGUUAACGCAAUAAGUGCUCCGCCUGGGGAGUACGCACGCAAGUGUGAAACUCAAAGGAAUUGACGGGG
rnacentral:rRNA from 1 species